UAGUAUAUUAUAUAUAUUAUAUAUUAUAUUAAUUAAUAUAAUAUUUUAUAAAAAAAUGAAACUAUGAGGAGUUUCAUAUUAUCAUUAACAAACUAAAUGGAAUAACAACAAGUACCUUAGCGGGGUUGGUGGAAAAGCUAAGUCUUGUUGUUUUUUUAGUUUUUAUUGAUAAUGUCAAUAUAUAUAUAUAUAAUUAUAGUAGUUCGGCUGGCUAGGUG
rnacentral:rRNA from 1 species